AGGACGAACGCUGGCGGCGUGCUUAACACAUGCAAGUCGAGCGGAAAGGCCCUUCGGGGUACUCGAGCGGCGAACGGGUGGGUAACACGUGAGCAACCUGCCCUUAGCUCCGGGAUAGCUCCUGGAAACCGGAAUUAAUACCGGAUACGACCACGGCCGACAUCUGCUGUGGUGGAAAGGAUUCCGGCUAAGGAUGGGCUCGCGGCCUAUCAGCUAGUUGGUGGAGUAACGGCCCACCAAGGCGACG
rnacentral:rRNA from 1 species